UACGGAGGGUGCAAGCGUUGUCCGGAAUCACUGGGCGUAAAGGGCGCGUAGGCGGCUCAUGAAGGCUGUGGUGAAAGUCCGGGGCUCAACCUCGGAUCGGCCGUGGCGACUCGUGGGCUGGAGCACUGUAGAGGCGGGUGGAAUUCCGGGUGUAGCGGUGGAAUGCGUAGAGAUCCGGAAGAACACCGGAGGCGAAGGCGGCUUGCUGGGCGUGAUCUGACGCUGAGACGCGAAAGCGUGGGGAGCAAACAGG
rnacentral:rRNA from 1 species